UAACGCAGCUAACGCGUGAAGUAGACCGCCUGGGGAGUACGGUCGCAAGAUUAAAACUCAAAUGAAUUGACGGGGGCCCGCACAAGCGGUGGAUUAUGUGGAUUAAUUCGAUGCAACGCGAAAAACCUUACCUGGCCUUGACAUGUAACGAACUUUCCAGAGAUGGAUUGGUGCUCGAAAGAGAACGUUAACACAGGUGCUGCAUGGCUGUCGUCAGCUCGUGUCGUGAGAUGUUGGGUUAAGUCCCGCAACGAGCGCAACCCUUGCCAUUAAUUGCCAUCAUUUAGUUGGGCACUUUAAUGGGACUGCCGGUGACAAACCGGAGGAAGGUGGGGAUGACGUCAAGUCCUCAUGGCCCUUAUAGCCAGGGCUUCACACGUAAUACAAUGGUCGGUACAGAGGGUUGCCAAGCCGCGAGGUGGAGCCAAUCCCAGAAAGCCGAUCGUAGUCCGGAUUGUAGUCUGCAACUCGACUACAUGAAGUCGGAAUCGCUAGUAAUCGCGGAUCAGCAUGUCGCGGUGAAUACGUUCCCGGGCCUUGUACACACCGCCCGUCACACCAUGGGAGUGGGUUUUACCAGAAGUA
rnacentral:rRNA from 1 species